CCUACGGGUGGCAGCAGUGAGGAAUAUUGGUCAAUGGCCGCAGGGCUGAACCAGCCAAGUCGCGUGAGGGAUGACGGUCCUAUGGAUUGUAAACCUCUUUUGUCAGGGAGCAAAGGGCGCCACGUGUGGCGUUUUGCGAGUAGCUGAAGAAGAAGCAUCGGCUAAAUCCGUACCAGCAGACGCGGUAAUGCGAGGGAUGCGAGGGUUAUCCGGAUUUGUUGGGGGUAAAGGGUGCGAGGGCGGAAUGUCAAGUCAGCGGUAAAAUUUCGGGGCUCAACCCCGUCGUGCCGUUGAAACUGGCUGUCUUGAGUGAGCGAGAGGUAGGCGGAAUGCGUGGUGUAGCGGUGAAAUGCAUAGAUAUCACGCAGAACUCCGAUUGCGAAGGCAGCAUACCGGAGCUCAACUGACGCUGAUGCACGAAAGCGUGGGUAUCGAACAGGAUUAGAUACCCGAGUAGUC
rnacentral:rRNA from 1 species